rnacentral:piRNA from 1 species
UAAUCCUAGGGGUUUCAGGAUGAAGGUCCGU